GCUGUUGGACGGCUGCUCGGCGCCGGCGCGCCGCUCGCCCCGGAGCGCGUGUGCUCCGCGGAUAGCAGGGGAUGGAACGCGGCGGGGAGCGGAGGGACGAGGACAAUGCGAACGCUCGCGGCGCGCGGCACGUGCCCGAGGGCCCCGGCCGCGCGGCUCUGGGGGCUGGGGCCCGCGGCCCGCGAGGAGGGGCUGCUCUCGGCCACUUUCCUGGGCUGGCUUUGUUGGCGACACGCCGGCCGCCGUGGCGGGGUGCCCCGGGGCGGGGUCCUGGGAAUGACCCCUAGCCCGGCGCGAGGCCUUGAACGGGAUGUUGGUGGAGAUACACGCUGUGGUUGUCAGGAGACGCGAGCGCAGCCGCAGCGCCGCUGCCCCCUCCGCAGCGAGGAUUUCCGGCGGCUGCGAGGGCUGUAAUUUAGAAUAAAGGCUCCCCCGGCACCCGAGAGGCUGACCUCAGCGCCGCGUGGCCGCAGGCUCCCGGCGCCCUCCGUGGACACGGUCCAGCGCGUGACAGGUGGGGGCCUUCCUCGCAGGUGAGACCUCCAGAGACCCUGGCAGACGUACCCAGCUUCGGAAUCGGGCUGCAGAGCGGAUUUGCUGUGCGCGGCAGACGUAGCUCGUAGGACUUUCAGAGCUGCAGGACGCGAUGAGGCCACCUGUCUGCUUACACUGAUCUUCUGUCUAAUUGCUUCUGGAGCCUUCCAGUCUAGACUGUGGGGAAAUGUGGUCACCCAGCAGGUCGGACGCUGGAGAAGGACAAAAUAAACGAUGGACGCUCUCUUCUAAUACAAGACUGUGGCCCGGUGUGGCUGUCCGGAUACAACUCUGAACGGGGUUUUAAACCACCUGCUUUCUUUGCCGUGGUCAACAUAAAACCGUAAAAGCAACAUGUCCACAUGAGGAAGUCACGUUGCUUGGCCCAACUUGAGCGACUCCGACUAUUUCUUCCUUUUUUUCUGGAUUGCCUGGGAACAUCCCUAGCAAGGAUCCUCUGCCCCAUCCCGCCGUGACGCCUUUUUCCUCCUCAUUUCACUUCUCUGGGUUUAAUUCACAGCACUACAAAACCAACACUUGCAUAACCAUAGGUGUUUCCAGUUUGUUUCUAACGGAAAGUUCCCUCACAGGCCUGUUUUGUUUAUUCUAUGUUAAUUUAAAAUCCCCCGUAUUAAGAAAACAGCAAACUCUGACAGUUAAGAGGUUUAACUUGGAAGUCAUGAUGUAAAACUGCACCAAUUUUUAAGUUAUUUUACCUUUUUACUAAAGAAGUCCCACACUAAAAAGCACCACACUAUCAAUGAGAAUUGCGUAUAAGACUGAAAAAUAUGCUGUAAGCCAUCUGUUCUCAUUCAUUCUCCUAGCAGAGUUUUUCCGGGACAGCGGACAUUUUCAGGCUGAGGUCUUUCUAAUGUGGGGAGCUGACUGGAGCUGACCGGGCCAGCAGCUUGUAUCUACAGUGCCAUGAGGUUGGAGAAGGAUACAGAUUGCACAGCUGUCUUCUUAGAUAAAUCUUACCCACUCAGCCAUCUCUGGAGGUCUGUUUCAUGCUGACUCAUGAACAACGGUAAAGUUAUGGCCCACUGAGGAGCUUCCAUGUUUUGACGUAAAACUGUUGUCCAAAAAUGACGCCUGCGUGUUGUGUUGUGUUUCUGCUCUCCCCUUGUCAAUGAUAGAUGAGUCACAGGCUGGUAGAGCUGAGAAUUUGAGUAAAAUCUUUUUAUUUAACUUUG